rnacentral:lncRNA from 1 species
AUAAGAUUGCUCACAAAUUUUAAAUAACAAAUCUUUUCAGAAUUUUCAAAAAAUAAAUUAUUUUAUUAUCUUCGUAGAUAAAUUAACCAGAUUUAAAAUUAAUUGACAGUAUGGUCGAAAAUGAUUUGAGGAGUAAAUAUUAUUUUCAAAUUUUGCAUUAAUUAUGAUUGAUUACUUUCCUUAUUGGUUUAUAGCAAUUAUUUUGCCACGAUUUUCUCUGUAGAAAUUUUAAACAAAAGAUAACAUUUAAAUAUGUUUAAUUGAUUACAUUCUAAUAACUUUUUAUUUUAUUUUAUAAAUACUGACAAUAACCAUAGCAUCCAGUGGCGACACAUCAACAAAAAUUAUCUCUAAGAUUUUCAUUUAAUAUAUCAAAAACUUAGAAUAAUUUUCAUAUUUAAUGGAUAUGUUUUGUAUAUAUUUUAAUGUUGUAUUGCGUUUAAAUAUGAUUAAUAUUUUUAAAUUUUUAUAAGAUUUACAUAAUUAUAAUAUAUGUCUUCAUCGAUUGAGUAAAUAAUAACAUAUCAAAGAAAAAUGUAAAUAAAAAUAUAAGAAAGAGUGUUACUUGUUAAGGCUGAUGUCAUCGUCGAUGUUCAGAACUCAUAUGCAUAUCUUGAUAAGUCAGAAAUCCAGAUGAAAUAGCAAAUCUCACAUUAAAUCUCGAUCUGAUUUAACAUUGUAGAAAGAAAAAAAUCAAAAGUUGAAUCGAUGAUUUCCAAAGAGACCAAACGAUGUCUAAAUAUAAUCAAAGCAAAAUCUAUAUUUACUACAACUCAAUAUCGUGUAACUUGGACACCAAGUCUAAAUGUUGCAUUACAUUCUUCUUGAUUUCUCUUGAGAAAAGGUCUCAUAUAGUGAAUUUCACCUAUAAAAAAAGAACAAAAACGUAUGUAAAAAUCUCUAGAAGCAAUCAUAUAACAACAAAUUAUCAUAAAGCCAACAUUUUUAAGCAAAAAAUAGAAGUAGGUUCCUUUUCUUUGAUAAAUAAAUUUUU